rnacentral:lncRNA from 1 species
UUUCCUUCUAUGUCUAAAAAAGAAAUGAAUUGACUAUGUGAUAUUAACAAAUUUUCUGUUUCAAGGGAGAAAGAGGCAUCCCAGGGCUUCCUGGACUCCGAGGAGAAAAAGGAGAGUCAGGCAAAGCCUAUGGCAUAGGAGAGAAAGGAGAAAAGGGUGAAGAAGGCUUUCCUGGCUUUCCUGGACUGAAAGGGGACAAAGGAGAAAAAGUAAGUCCAAGUCUUUAUUAAUUAUACUCUGAAAAGUUUAGGAGUUU